rnacentral:rRNA from 1 species
GUGACAUACCUAUACGUUGCCUCGGCGGAUCAGCCCGCGCCCCGUAAAAAGGGACGGCCCGCCCGAGGACCCCUAAACUCUGUUUUUAGUGGAACUUCUGAGUAAAACAAACAAAUAAAUCAAAACUUUCAACAACGGAUCUCUUGGUUCUGGCAUCGAUGAAGAACGCAGCAAAAUGCGAUAAGUAAUGUGAAUUGCAGAAUUCAGUGAAUCAUCGAAUCUUUGAACGCACAUUGCGCCCGCCAGUAUUCUGGCGGGCAUGCCUGUUCGAGCGUCAUUUCAACCCUCAAGCUCAGCUUGGUGUUGGGACUCGCGGUAACCCGCGUUCCCCAAAUCGAUUGGCGGUCACGUCGAGCUUCCAUAGCGUAGUAAUCAUACACCUCGUUACUGGUAAUCGUCGCGGCCACGCCGUAAAACCCCAACUUCUGAAUGUUGACCUCGGAUCAGGUAGGAAUACCCGCUGAACUUAAGCAUAUCAAA